rnacentral:lncRNA from 1 species
CCAGGCUGGAGUGCAGUGGCUAUUCACAGGCUGGAGUGCAGUGGCUAUUCACAGGCGCGAUCCCACUACUGAUCAGCACGGGAGUUUUGACCUGCUCCGUUUCCGACCUGGGCCGGUUCACCCCUCCUUAGGCAACCUGGUGGUCCCCCGCUCCCGGGAGGUCACCAUAUUGAUGCCGAACUUAGUGCGGACACCCGAUCGGCAUAGCGCACUACAGCCCAGAACUCCUGGGCUCAAGCGAUCCUCCCACCUCAGCCUCCCGAGUAGCUGGGACUACAGGCACGCGCCACCGCGCCCGGCGG